rnacentral:rRNA from 1 species
AGUCGACGGAAGGCCCGCUUGCGGGUACUCGAGUGGCGAACGGGUGAGUAACACGUGGGCAACCUGCCCUCAGCUUUGGGAUAACUCUCGGAAACGGGUGCUAAUACCGAAUGUUGACAUUGCUCCGCAUGGGGUUUUGUUGAAAGUUUUUUCGGCUGGGGAUGGGCCCGCGGCCUAUCAGCUUGUUGGUGGGGUGAUGGCCUACCAAGGCGACGACGGGUAGCCGGCCUGAGAGGGCGAUCGGCCACACUGGAACUGAGACACGGUCCAGACUCCUACGGGAGGCAGCAGUGGGGAAUAUUGCGCAAUGGGCGGAAGCCUGACGCAGCGACGCCGCGUGAGGGAUGAAGGUCUUCGGAUUGUAAACCUCUUUCAGUAGGGACGAAUUCAGACGGUACCUGCAGAAGAAGCACCGGCCAACUACGUGCCAGCAGCCGCGGUAAUACGUAGGGUGCGAGCGUUGUCCGGAAUUAUUGGGCGUAAAGAGCUCGUAGGCGGUUCGUCGCGUCGAAUGUGAAAUCCCGGGGCUCAACUCCGGGUCUGCAUUCGAUACGGGCGGACUAGAGUUCGGUAGGGGAGACUGGAAUUCCUGGUGUAGCGGUGAAAUGCGCAGAUAUCAGGAGGAACACCGGUGGCGAAGGCGGGUCUCUGGGCCGAUACUGACGCUGAGGAGCGAAAGCGUGGGGAGCGAACAGGAUUAGAUACCCUGGUAGUCCACGCCGUAAACGGUGGGCGCUAGGUGUGGGGGACUUCCACGUUCUCUGUGCCGCAGCUAACGCAUUAAGCGCCCCGCCUGGGGAGUACGGCCGCAAGGCUAAAACUCAAAGGAAUUGACGGGGGCCCGCACAAGCGGCGGAGCAUGCUGAUUAAUUCGAUGCAACGCGAAGAACCUUACCAAGGCUUGACAUACACCGGAAACUUCCAGAAAUGGUUGCCCCGCAAAGGUCGGUGUACAGGUGGUGCAUGGUUGUCGUCAGCUCGUGUCGUGAGAUGUUGGGUUAAGUCCCGCAACGAGCGCAACCCUCGUCUUAUGUUGCCAGCACGUUAUGGUGGGGACUCAUAAGAGACUGCCGGGGUCAACUCGGAGGAAGGUGGGGAUGGGGUCAAAUCAUCAUGCCCCUUAUGUCUUGGGCUUCAAGCAUGCUACAAUGGCCGGUACAAAGGGCUGCGAUACCGCGAGGUGGAGCGAAUCCCAAAAAGCCGGUCUCAGUUCGGAUUGGGGUCUGCAACUCGACCCCAUGAAGUCGGAGUCGCUAGUAAUCGCAGAUCAG